UUUAGAGAAGGCAGAGGUCAUCUCGCCCUUGCCCUGCUCUCUGUUGUUGCCAGAACCGGAGACGUAGGCUACCAGGUAAUGUCCUCGUUAUAGCCAUCGCAGGAGUGGUAGACGUGACGCAAUCGAAUAAACACUAAAUCAAUCCAUCGACAGAAGCUCGGGAAGACUGCAUUGCAUGCUUUUCGGAUGCUGUUUUUUUUUUUACGGUUUUCUCGUCGAUAGUUUUAUUUAAAGAUUACGAUUCCGAGUGGUAUUUUUCGGAGUGGUCAAGUUCAUCUCACUACAGUGUACACAAGCAACUCCACAAGCAAAUUACUGAGUUAUUGUAGAGCAUUCUUCGUACGUAGCCUAGGUGUGAUCCUAAAGUCAAUAUGACCACCAGUCGACCUCUUUGAAGAUAGUAAUGUGGGCUGGACUACUCCCACUCCAAAGAUGACGACAACAGAAGCCCCCGCUCUCGCCUAGACUACGAAGGCUGAAAAGAAAAGACCACGAGUGAAGGACGAAGCAUCGAGAGGUCAGUGGCAGACCGAGAGGUCGUCGUGCAGCAUCUCUAGGGCCUGCUGGGCUGGGACUACAGAGAUGAGGAUUCAGAAGUUGAGGAGGAGCUGCAGCACAAGCUCUCUGUCAUGGGAUCGCACUCCAUGGGGGAGAAGUGUGGAUCCAGGCAUGGGACUGAUGCUGAGGGAGAUCCAGAACGGGACGAAAAGCCCAAACUGAAGCGUAAGCUGGUCCAGUUGGAGGCCACAUCCCCUCACCUGGAGACCGGUUGCUUUCCUCCGCAGUCAAAACGCGCGACUAGCAGAAGGUACCACGUCAAACAGCGCAACAAGCUGUGGAGCGUUGAACCCUCCUCUUUGUCCGCCCCAAGGAGACGCCCGGUGGUGGUGCUGAAGAUGCUCUCUGAGCAAGAAAUACACACUGCCCUUUGUCCCGUUGUGACGAUGUCGACAACGACGAUGAUCAUGUACAUGUUGUCGGUGACGUCUACCUGGAUAACGAUGGCGAUGAUGUCAUCGACAGACAGGGGCUUGGCAACUGGCUGGGGUUCUUCGACCGAGGAUUCCUGGAAAGGGAAGGCCAGCGCCUGUGCUAGGGACACUGGAUCCCUUUUGAGGAUAAGUGCAAAAGACAACAAGGCAAAGAUUAAAUCAAAAUCUGUCACAGUGGAAAGGCAAAAUGGAGAACAAUCAGAUGCUCCUCACAAUGGCAAGGCCACUGUACACCAUGGUAAAAAUAUUCAAAAGCCACUCACGCAAAUGUACUGUCAACAAAGAAAAGAAGCAGUCCACGACUGCCACGGUAGGAAACAAGAGGAGAAAUUGUGAAAAGUAUCACAGUGUCUUAUAAAGAUGCAGCCAUACAUUUUCUUGGUGGAAAUGGUUUGGGAUUUGAAAGUCGAUCUAUUCAUGCCCAAAGGAUAACACGACAAUGCAUGGUAUUCAAGCAUUACUGUUGUCCUGGCAGUCAUUUUGCUCUGUUCUUGCUUAGAUGCUCCGACAUCAGCCGAGCCUCAGAGCUGUGAAAUCGCUGUCUCCUCCGUCUCCAAGCCCUGCACUCCCAUCGCCUCCCCAAUGUCCCUAGCCCAUGAUUUUGAUGAAGUGAUUUUCUUUUUUUCCAUCUUAGGUAUGGAUGUGCUGGUAUUGAGAACUAGUAUAAUACCAGCAUAAUAUUACAUUAGAUGAGAUACAUUACAUAUGUUACAUUGUACAACAUCUAAUCCACAGUGUGGACCGUGUGGGGUGGAGGGCUUCAAGUACAAGGUGAGCCUUGAGAACAGGGGGCGCGUCCUGGUGUCUGGACACCACCUUGCCUGUGAGGACACUGCUCCGCUGUGCAGUCUCCAUGUGCGGGUCCGGGUGGUGACUAGCUAGCGGAAAGACAACAAACCUUUCUUCUACUCUGGCAUCCUGGGAGAGCUUCCCUCCAGAAGGAACCGCAUGAGGUAGAGAGAGGGAGUGAGGUGUGUGGGGGAAAGACACUGCCCUGCAUGAUGAGGCUCUGGGAAGUCAUAUUAAAAUUGAAAAUCUGAUUUCUAAAGACGUAGUUCCUCCAUCUUCACAAAAAAAGUUCAAAACAUUAACAGAAUUCCAAUCAAAUGCAGCAAGAUAUGUGCGGGUUUAAUUUAAGUGUCAUAUUUUGGAAACCUUAUAGCGUUCUGUUAUUUAUUGGUGAGUGAAAAGUUAACCAAGAGAAUAUCUGUUCUGAUUGGCUGCGAGCUGACCUCUCUAUGAGACAAUCUUUGACCCCAUCUCAUUUCCUACAGCACAUCAUUUUCCCUGAUUAGAUUCAGGGAAUCUAUCUAAAUUGUUGAUAACAAAUACACACACAGUGUUGACAUAUCGCCAUCUUACGUGUGACUGCAACUCUUCUCAAUGGUGGUGAAACGUAGGAAGGGAGGAAGCAGAGGGAGACAGGUUUUUUUGGGGUCGUUUGUUUUCUAAUUCUUGCUCUCUUUUAUGCCUUCUCUCUCUGUGUAACAAAGGUGCGCCUUUGCAACUCUGAAAUCCUGCCCGCAGCAGCUUUUAGAGGAUAUAUUCACCGGGUUUAACCUCUUAUUCUAAUUGAGUCGCCUGGCAACUAAAGUUGGCAAUUGAACAGAAUGGAUAUUUUCAUAUAUAUAUUUCCUACCAUUUAGACAGUGAUUGGUAGCUCAUGAAAUUUCACAAGCUUCAUAAGAUAGGAUGACUUAAACUAUGCAUAUGCAAACUCAAUUUAUAAUAGAGGAAUAUCCAAUAGUUCGGAUUCUGUUUGUCUUAUCAAUGCUGUUUCCUUAGGACUUGUCUAGUCCGGCUCUUCUGGUCAAAUCUCCUGAAAGGAGGUGUAUGUUUCAGGUUCCUGGUCUUUUUCGACAAUCACACUCCUAACUAUGUUCGACUACCUUCUCUGCACCUGGUGUGCAGGCCAUGUAAGACCGACAAGCACAUUAUAUAUAUACUUUAACUUCUAACCCUUAAAGUGAUAAUGAAAUGACAAAAAUGUCUUGCUAACAUUAUGGUGGAUAAAUAAACGUUGUCAUAUACAUUCAAAUUCAAAACAACAUACUCUCCCAUCAGUUUCGGAAAGAAACCUCCUCCUUUUGAAUUUUCCAAAACGUUUUGACCUUCUUCGUGAGGGCAUUUUUCCCCAAACAUUUCUUUUUGAAAGACGAGCACUGUUUAUUUUGACCCAUGCUACACCACAUCCUUCUCUCCACUUCUGUGUUGUGUCUCAGUGGUGGAACCCUGGGGCGGACAUCCCAGGAGACGCCCACCGGAGAUUCAUCAGGGAGUACCUGAAGGUGUGGCCGCACCCUCCUAUGGCCAACUACUGAGUGGAUGAGCAGCUCAACGUGGAGUGCAGAGAGCCUGCGAGGUGCUCCGUGCAGACUGCAGCCUGAUGCAUGUCCUCUUCAAGCAUAGCGGACUCAAGGAGGGGAUUUAUCGAGGUUCCAUGCGUCUGGAGCACUCGGUCAACACGAAUAAGGUUCUGAAGAAUACGGACAGGGCGGGAGAGACGAAGGCGGCUGAACCCAGCAGCGUAACCCACGAAAAUCCGCAGGAAGCAUGUCCCGGGUCUCGCUCCACUCCGACCACUCCACCCACUCCACCGGCCGCCAUGGGUGAACUACACUCCGCACCUCUGCAGCCCCGCCUGCCUGGAACUAGUCUGGCGCGACAGGCCUCUGGAAGCGUUGCGGAAGCGCAACCCGCUGCUCGCCCCCAUGAUGUACAAGUUCAGACGGGCCAAGAGGCAGCUCACCCCUGACACCAUGGCCUCGGUAUUGAGUCUGGACGGCUCGUAAACAGGGUGUCCCCGUGGAGACGAAGCCCACCUACAGCGUAUACUGCUACGCCCCCUGCGGCCUGCCCCUGACCGCCAUCGCCCAGGUGGAGCAGUACCUGCAUGACACGCGCUGCGACUUCCUGUCCAUUGACGCUUUCAACCUGGACCCGCACCUGUCUGUCACCGGUGCCAAACCCCUCCCCUUCAAGGUGUUCCUUCCCGACCUGUCCGGCGGCAGGGAGAACAAGGCGUUGCCCUGCAUCAACGAGCACAACGGCCAGCUUCCCCCCCAAGAUGAGCUACCGGAGCGGCCGCGACACCAGCCACGUCCGUCUCGACCCCGGCCCCGGCGUUGUGACGGGCUAAGUCGACGGUUGUAGGGACAGAGAGUCCUGCUCCUGUCGCCAGCUGACUAUCCAGAGCACCGGUGGGAGAGCCAUGGAGGAGAACUCCAGCUACGCUCAAAAGAGACUCAACAAUGCAGUUGUUACUGGCGUGUAUGAGUGCAACGCCCAGUGUCUCUGUGACCCCCCGCACAUGCUCGAACCGGGUGGCACAGCAAGGCGUCCAGGUGAGGCUCCAGGUCUUCAUGACCCAGGACCGAGGCUGGGGCGUCUGCUGCCUGGAUGACAUAUCCGGGGAGACCUUUGUGUGUUCCUACAGCGCCUCUAAAACGACUAAAGCCAAGGACCCUUCAAAGAGAAAGAAACCUGCAUCUUCCAUGGUUCCCAUGACUACAUCCAGAUGUUUCUUUGAUGGCGAGGAACACGGCUGCAUCCUUGAUGAUAAUAUGGAGAGAAAUGUUGCCCGCUACCUCAAUGAUAGCUGCAACCCAAACUUGUUUAAACAAUAAGUUUUUAUGGACACACACGACCUCAGGUUUCCCUGGUUAACCUUUUUACUAGCAAGCGGGUCAAAGCUGUCACAGAGUUGACCUGGGACUACAGAUCUGUCCAAAAAGAGGAUGCUGAAACUCUUCUUGGUCAGCCGUGCUCCUGUGGGUCUAAAAACUGUUCUGGCCAACUAUAAUGCUUAGAGACUUGAUUCGAAAUUUAUAUAAAUGUGUUGAUUUGCAAUGGUGUGAAGUUUUUUACAUUUAAAUAAAUAUCCCUCAACAUUCA